UACAGAGGGUGCGAGCGUUAAUCGGAAUUACUGGGCGUAAAGCGCGCGUAGGCGGCUUUGCAAGUUGGGUGUGAAAUCCCCAGGCCUAACCUGGGAACUGCAUUCGAGACUGCAUGGCUAGAGUAUCGGAGAGGGAAGUGGAAUUUCAGGUGUAGCGGUGAAAUGCGUAGAUAUCUGAAGGAACAUCAGUGGCGAAAGCGACUUCCUGGACGAAUACUGACGCUCAUGUGCGAAAGCGUGGGGAGCAAACAGG
rnacentral:rRNA from 1 species